rnacentral:rRNA from 1 species
UAAAGCGCACGCAGGCGGUCUGUCAAGUCGGAUGUGAAAUCCCCGGGCUCAACCUGGGAACUGCAUUCGAAACUGGCAGGCUAGAGUCUUGUAGAGGGGGGUAGAAUUCCAGGUGUAGCGGGGAAAUGCGUAGAGAUCUGGAGGAAUACCGGUGGCGAAGGCGGCCCCCUGGACAAAGACUGACGCUCAGGUGCGAAAGCGUGGGGAGCAAACAGGAUUAGAUACCCUGGUAGUCCACGCCGUAAACGAUGUCGAUUUGGAGGUUGUGCCCUUGAGGCGUGGCUUCCGGAGCUAACGCGUUAAAUCGACCGCCUGGGGAGUACGGCCGCAAGGUUAAAACUCAAAUGAAUUGACGGGGGCCCGCACAAGCGGUGGAGCAUGUGGUUUAAUUCGAUGCAACGCGAAGAACCUUACCUGGUCUUGACAUCCACAGAACUUUCCAGAGAUGGAUUGGUGCCUUCGGGAACUGUGAGACAGGUGCUGCAUGGCUGUCGUCAGCUCGUGUUGUGAAAUGUUGGGUUAAGUCCCGCAACGAGCGCAACCCUUAUCCUUUGUUGCCAGCGGUUCGGCCGGGAACUCAAAGGAGACUGCCAGUGAUAAACUGGAGGAAGGUGGGGAUGA